rnacentral:rRNA from 1 species
UACAGAGGUCUCAAGCGUUGUUCGGAUUCAUUGGGCGUAAAGGGUGUGUAGGUGGCGCGCUAAGUCGGGUGUGAAAUUUCGGAGCUUAACUCCGAAACUGCAUUCGAUACUGGCGUGCUUGAGGACUGGAGAGGAGACUGGAAUUCAUGGUGUAGCAGUGAAAUGCGUAGAGAUCAUGAGGAAGACCAGUGGCGAAGGCGGGUCUCUGGACAGUUACUGACGCUGAUGCACGAAGGCCAGGGGAGCAAACGGG